rnacentral:rRNA from 1 species
GUGGGGAAUAUUGGACAAUGGGCGAAAGCCUGAUCCAGCCAUGCCGCGUGUGUGAAGAAGGCCUUUUGGUUGUAAAGCACUUUAAGCGAGGAGGAGGCUACCGAGAUUAAUACUCUUGGAUAGUGGACGUUACUCGCAGAAUAAGCACCGGCUAACUCUGUGCCAGCAGCCGCGGUAAUACAGAGGGUGCGAGCGUUAAUCGGAUUUACUGGGCGUAAAGCGUGCGUAGGCGGCUUUUUAAGUCGGAUGUGAAAUCCCUGAGCUUAACUUAGGAAUUGCAUUCGAUACUGGGAAGCUAGAGUAUGGGAGAGGAUGGUAGAAUUCCAGGUGUAGCGGUGAAAUGCGUAGAGAUCUGGAGGAAUACCGAUGGCGAAGGCAGCCAUCUGGCCUAAUACUGACGCUGAGGUACGAAAGCAUGGGGAGCAAACAGGAUUAGAAACCCGUGUAGUCC